GGGGAAUUGCACUGUUAUGCUUAAAAACAGCUCUUUCAUUCCUAGGCAUUUGUAAGUUCCAGCAUCUCUAUACCUUCAUUCUUUUCAAGUAAAACCAAAGGUUAAAAAUUACAAGUCAAAUUUCAUGCAGAAAAUUGAUUGGCUAUGUUUGCUAUUUGGUAGUAACUUAAAAAUUUUAAACUUCAAAAAUAUGAUUCAGAUGAGAAUUAUAUCAAUCAAGGCAAGCGUACCAUCAUUGCAUCUGCAAUUCCU
rnacentral:misc_RNA from 1 species